rnacentral:rRNA from 1 species
UACGGGGGGGGCAAGCGUUGUUCGGAAUUACUGGGCGUAAAGGGUCUGUAGGUGGUCUGCUAAGUCAGACGUGAAAUCCCUCAGCUUAACUGGGGAACUGCGUCUGAUACUGGCGGACUUGAGGGCAGGAGAGGAACGCGGAAUUCCAGGUGUAGCGGUGAAAUGCGUAGAUAUCUGGAGGAACACCGGUGGCGAAGGCGGCGAUCUGGGAAGAUACUGACGCUGAGGUGCGAAAGCGUGGGGAGCAAACAGG